rnacentral:lncRNA from 1 species
UUAUGCAGGUCUGGCAAGCCCUGUUCCAACUAACUAUCUGACAUUUCACUCUUCUUAAUAGAGAACUUAUGAUGGAAGAAUAUCCAUGGCCUAAGUUCAGGCAAUUAAGGGAACAUUGAUUUCCAUAUAGAAUCAAUGAAAAGCUGGAAGUUUACACCAAGUGUCAGAAUUUUGUCUGAGAAGACAACAUGUUUAAGACCACAGGACAUCUGCAUAGG